rnacentral:rRNA from 1 species
CGAAAGCCUGACGGAGCAAUACCGCGUGAGGGAAGAAGGCUUUUGGGUUGUAAACCUCUUUUGUCAGGGAAGAAGAAUUGACGGUACCUGAAGAAAAAGCAUCGGCUAACUCCGUGCCAGCAGCCGCGGUAAUACGGAGGAUGCAAGCGUUAUCCGGAAUCAUUGGGCGUAAAGGGUCCGCAGGUGGCGAAUAAAGUCUGCUGUUAAAGACCGGGGCUUAACUCCGGAAAGGCAGUGGAAACUGAUUAGCUAGAGUAAGGUAGGGGUAGAGGGAAUUCCCAGUGUAGCGGUGAAAUGCGUAGAUAUUGGGAAGAACACCGGUGGCGAAAGCGCUCUACUAGGCCGAAACUGACACUGAGGGACGAAAGCUAGGGUAGCGAAAGGGAUUAGAUACCCCUGUAGUCUUAGCGGUAAACGAUGGAUACUAGGUGUAGCUUGUAUCGACCCGAGCUGUGCCGAAGCUAACGCGAUAAGUAUCCCGCCUGGGGAGUACGCACGCAAGUGUGAAACUCAAAGGAAUUGACGGGGGCCCGCACAAGCGGUGGAGUAUGUGGUUUAAUUCGAUGCAACGCGAAGAACCUUACCAGGGCUUGACAUGUCGCGAAUCUAGCGGAAACGUUAGAGUGCCUUAGGGAAUGCGAACACAGGUGGUGCAUGGCUGUCGUCAGCUCGUGUCGUGAGAUGUUGGGUUAAGUCCCGCAACAAGCGCAACCCUCGUCCUUAGUUGCCAAUAUUAAGUUAGGCACUCUAGGGAGACUGCCGGGGACAACUCGGAGGAAGGUGGGGAUGACGUCAAGUCAGCAUGCCCCUUACGUCCUGGGCUACACACGUACUACAAUGGUUGGGACAAAGGGCAGCAAGCUCGCGAGAGUAAGCGAAUCUCAUCAAACCCAGCCACAGUUCAGAUUGCAGGCUGCAACUCGCCUGCAUGAAGUAGGAAUCGCUAGUAAUCGCAGGUCAGCAUACUGCGGUGAAUUCGUUCCCGGGCCUUGUACACACCGCCCGUCACACCAUGGAAGCUGGCUACGCCCGAAAUCGUUACCCUAACCCGGUUUUGGGAGGGGGAUGCCGAAGGUAGAGCUAGUGACUGGGGUGAAGUCGUAACAAGGUAGCCGUACCGGAAGGUGUGGCUGGAUCACCUCCUUU